CAGCAUUCAUAUGCUUGAGAGGAUUCAUAUGCUUCUCCGGUUCGGUGGUUGUGGUGUCUGCUGCAGUGCUUGGAGUCCUCAGGAAGCGCUAGGAGCAUCCUUUAACGGAGGUACACAGUCGGGGUGCCAGGUGAUCCGUUACACUCUGCAUUCCUAGACUCAUGGAGUCAAUGCAAGUAUUGAUGGCUGGAGGGUUGACCAUGGUGCAAGUGCUGGGAAGCAGGAGAACUGCCUUUAGGAGGGUUCACCUGUUCUCCCCUGCAAAUCAGAUAGACAUAGAUAUAGAUAGGCAUAGAUAUAAAUUUGGUGAAAUGGGACGAGGGACCUGUUUUUAGCAAAUCUAUACAUUUGCUAGCAAUUCUGCUUUCAGAAUAAAGAGAUGGUAUUUAUUGUACUUUUAAAUUAGGCAAAAGUGUAUAUAUAAUGACAUGCACACUUUAAAGGAUAAGCCUAAGCACCGCAAUAAGUUCAUGAUACUUAAAGCACCUUGAUCCCACUCUCCUGUUUAAAACUGGGCUAUAGUGGCAAUGAUUUUAUUAAAGGACACGGAGGCUCCUAUUAUGCUUAUCUCUUUCUUUAUUCCUCAGCAGCAAAAGAAAGGAUAUUGUAUAUAUUCAAUGGAAAAAAAAUGUAAUAACAAAACAUCAUUUACCCCCAAAGGGAGGAUUAAGGCGGGAUUAAGCUCAGUUACUAGGCAAGUCUCCCGGUGCCCCCCAGGAGCUUAUUCCUAAAGGAACACUCGGUGAGCUUGCUGUAUUUGCUUAAUCUGUGCCUGUUUUUUACACUGUAUUUUUACAUACUAGUACUAUACUAUUUGUGCCUGCUAGAUUUUAGUUAUAGCAUUGUACCCCAAUCUGCUCCUAGAAUAAAUCUCCCUACUAUAGACCUGUAGUGCCCAGUCUGAGAAUAACUCUUCUGCCUGUCAUAUUGGCCCAUUACUCCUGAGACAUGCAGGCUGAUAAGAUAAUUGACGGCGCUGCCACUAUGGCCACCAUAACCACAACACCCGUACCAGUGCCCAAAAUACAAUAAUUGAAGCAUCACAGGAGCAAAUGGACUCGGAAGAGUUACAUUCCCUCCUAGACGCUGCUAUGGUGACGUCUGUGACGCAAGCCAUAUUUACUGCAAUGAGAGCCAUGUCGGGUAAUAUAUCCCAUUCGAUAACCAAUGCACUGAGGUCCACUCAGCUACCACCAGAUCCCAUGGCUAACCCCCCAGAGAGUAAACCGGUGGCCCCUAGUGGGCGUAAAGCCGCAAAAAAGUCUCGCCAUUUGGACGAGUAUGCCUCCAAAAUCUAACCUGUGGUUGGACCACAACUAAGAGUGCCCCACCGGGCAAAAUCGGUGAGGAACUGGAAGAGGGCAAAGGCCCUGAUUGAAUCCUCCGACUGAAUCGUAGCAAGAGGAGGCACAGAGUGAGUCCGAUGAAGAGGACUCUUACGAUUCCAACAGUUAUUUGCCGGAGUACAGCUCCUUGACACUAAUGGGAACAGACCCCAAAGAUGGAGUUGACGACUCCGCCCUGGUUGACCCUCAGGGCGAGCCACUUUUUGACCCCGACACCCUACAACACCCGAGAUCCUUGGAGUGGUAUCCCCUGGAACAUGUAGCGAAAUAUAUCGCUGCUCGCAUUAGAAAGCCACUUGACAAGGUGGCACGAAACAAACUUCGAGCAGAAUGCCCAUGCCCCACUAUUCCUGAUAUGGAAUGCGUCACCCCUGACGUAGACCCAAAGAUCGCCCAAUUCUUGGGAAAAUCAGGUUGGAAGGCCAAGAAGGACCUGGACUUUGCCUGGUGGAAUUGCCAAGAUAAGGUCCUGGACGUCCUGGGACCAAUUGCGAAGAUGUUCGACAUGGUCGAAAUCGCACUAGCAGGUGGUACACCGUUAGAUUUGGAAGCCAUCAGGAGGUGGCUCCAGCGAGCCGUAUGUCUUCUGGGGUAAGCCAAUACUGCGGUGGCCACUGAAAGACGCAAGGCGAUCCUGAUUAAAAUAGAACCUAAGCUAGUGAACCUAGCUAUUUCAGAGCCUGGACCCCAGGCAAAAGCCCUCCUGUUUGGAGAUAAUUUUGUUAAAGAAUUAGGCACGUAUGUAGGCACCUUUACGGCACUUGAUAAAGCUCAAGCCAGCAUGAAGUGGGUGUUCCACCAGAGGGUUUUUAUCAGGGCCGUCUGCCCGGCCGCUCACCCUGGGGUUCAUACCGGGGCUCUCGAGGCUCCAUACAGGCCAGGUUCACAGCACCUGAGCCAAAAC
rnacentral:lncRNA from 1 species